rnacentral:rRNA from 1 species
CGGAGCAUUUUACGAGGUGCUGCAUGGUUGUCGUCAGCUCGUGCCGUGAGGUGUCGGGUUAAGUCCCAUAACGAGCGCCAACCCCUACCUUUAGUUGCCAUCAGGUAAUGCUGGGGACUCUAAAGGAACUGCCUACGCAAGUAGUGAGGAAGGCGGGGAUGACGUCAAAUCAGCACGGCCCUUACGUCCAGGGCUACACACGUGCUACAAUGGCCGAUACAGAGGGCAGCUACCUGGUGACAGGAUGCAAAUCUCCAAAGUCGGUCUCAGUUCGGAUCGGAGUCUGCAACCCGACUCCGUGAAGUUGGAUUCGCUAGUAAUCGCGCAUCAGCCAUGGCGCGGUGAAUACGUUCCCGGGCCUU